rnacentral:SRP_RNA from 1 species
GUUGGGUCGUUUCAGACUGGUUCGGCAACCGCUCCACC